rnacentral:rRNA from 1 species
CAGCAGCCGCGGGAAUACGAAGGGGGCUAGCGUUGCUCGGAAUUACUGGGCGUAAAGGGAGCGUAGGCGGAUCGUUAAGUUGGGGGUGAAAGCCCGGGGCUCAACCUCGGAACUGCCUUCAAUACUGGCGAUCUUGAGUAUGAGAGAGGUGUGUGGAACUCCGAGUGUAGAGGUGAAAUUCGUAGAUAUUCGGAAGAACACCAGUGGCGAAGGCGACACACUGGCUCAUUACUGACGCUGAGGCUCGAAAGCGUGGGGAGCAAACAGGAUUAGAUACCCCCGUAGUCCCUGUCUCUUAUAC